UCCGCAGGCGGUCUGAUAAGUCAGAGGUGAAAUCCUAUCGCUCAACGAUAGAACUGCCUUUGAUACUGUUAGACUUGAGUUAUUGUGAAGUAGUUAGAAUGUGUAGUGUAGCGGUGAAAUGCAUAGAUAUUACACAGAAUACCGAUUGCGAAGGCAGAUUACUAACAAUAUACUGACGCUCAGGGACGAAAGCGUGGGUAGCGAACAGGAUUAGAUACCCUGGUAGUCCACGCCGUAGACGAUGGUCACUAGCUGUUUGAUGCACAUUGGUGUUUUGAGUGGCUAAGCGAAAGUGAUAAGUGACCCACCUGGGGAGUACGCUCGCAAGAGUGAAACUCCAGGAAUUGACGGGGGCCCGCACAAGCGGUGGAGCAUGUGGUUUAAUUCGAUGA
rnacentral:rRNA from 1 species